rnacentral:rRNA from 1 species
AACGAACGCUGGCGGCAUGCCUAACACAUGCAAGUCGAACGAGACCUUCGGGUCUAGUGGCGCACGGGUGCGUAACGCGUGGGAACCUGCCCUUAGGUUCGGAAUAACUCCCCGAAAGGGGUGCUAAUACCGGAUAAUGUCUUCGGACCAAAGAUUUAUCGCCUUUGGAUGGGCCCGCGUUGGAUUAGCUAGUUGGUAGGGUAAAAGCCUACCAAGGCGACGAUCCAUAGCUGGUCUGAGAGGAUGAUCAGCCACACUGGGACUGAGACACGGCCCAGACUCCUACGCGAAGCAGCAGUGGGGAAUAUUGGACAAUGGGCGAAAGCCUGAUUCAGCAAUGCCGCGUGAGUGAUGAAGGCCUUAGGGUUGUAAAGCUCUUUUACCCGGGAUGAUAAUGACAGUACCGGGAGAAUAAGCGCCGGCUAACUCCGUG